rnacentral:sRNA from 1 species
CUUAAACCAUUAAAAU